rnacentral:rRNA from 1 species
AUACGUAGGGUGCGAGCGUUGUCCGGAAUUACUGGGCGUAAAGAGCUCGUAGGUGGUUUGUCGCGUCGUCUGUGAAAUUCCGGGGCUUAACUCCGGGCGUGCAGGCGAUACGGGCAUAACUUGAGUACUGUAGGGGAGACUGGAAUUCCUGGUGUAGCGGUGAAAUGCGCAGAUAUCAGGAGGAACACCGGUGGCGAAGGCGGGUCUCUGGGCAGUAACUGACGCUGAGGAGCGAAAGCAUGGGGAGCGAACAGGAUUAGAUACCCUGGUAGUCCAUGCCGUAAACGGUGGGCGCUAGGUGUGGGUUUCCUUCCACGGGAUCCGUGCCGUAGCUAACGCAUUAAGCGCCCCGCCUGGGGAGUACGGCCGCAAGGCUAAA